rnacentral:rRNA from 1 species
UACGUAGGGGGCAACCGUUGUCCGGAUUUAUUGGGCGUAAAGAGCGUGUAGGCGGUUAGGUAGGUCCGUUGUGAAAACUCGAGGCUCAACCUCGAGACGCCGAUGGAAACCAUCUGACUAGAGUUCGGAAGAGGAGAGUGGAAUUCCUGGUGUAGCGGUGAAAUGCGCAGAUAUCAGGAAGAACACCCGUGGCUAAGGCGGCUCUCUGGGACGGUACUGACGCUGAGACGCGAAAGCGUGGGGAGCGAACAGG